rnacentral:rRNA from 1 species
AGGGUUUGAUCAUGGCUCAGGACGAACGCUGGCGGCGUGCUUAACACAUGCAAGUCGAACGGAAUCCAUGGUGUAGCAAUACACCGGAAGAUUUAGUGGCGAACGGGUGAGGAUCACGUGAGAAACGUGCCCCAGACUCUGGGAUAACAAUUGGAAACGAUUGCUAAUACCGGAUGACGUCGGAGAACCGCAUGGUUCACUGACGAAAGAUAUUUCGGUUUGGGAGCGUCUCGCGGCCUAUCAGCUUGUUGGUGGGGUAAUGGCCUACCAAGGCAACGACGGGUAGCUGGUCUGAGAGGAUGAUCAGCCACACUGGGACUGAGACACGGCCCAGACUCCUACGGGAGGCAGCAGUGGGGAAUCUUGCGCAAUGGGCGAAAGCCUGACGCAGCAACGCCGCGUGCGGGAUGAAGGCCUUCGGGCUGUAAACCGCUUUCAGCAGGAACGAAAAUGACGGUACCUGCAGAAGAAGGAGCGGCCAACUACGUGCCAGCAGCCGCGGUGACACGUAGGCUCCAAGCGUUGUCCGGAUUUAUUGGGCGUAAAGAGCUCGUAGGCGGUUGAGUAAGUCGGGUGUGAAAACUCUGGGCUUAACCCGGAGACGCCAUCCGAUACUGCUCUGACUAGAGUUCAGGAGGGGAGUGGGGAAUUCCUAGUGUAGCGGUGAAAUGCGCAGAUAUUAGGAGGAACACCGGUGGCGAAGGCGCCACUCUGGACUGAAACUGACGCUGAGGAGCGAAAGCAUGGGUAGCAAACAGGAUUAGAUACCCUGGUAGUCCAUGCCGUAAACGGUGGGCACUAGGUGUGGGUUCCAACUAACGGGAUCCGCGCCGUCGCUAACGCAUUAAGUGCCCCGCCUGGGGAGUACGGUCGCAAGAUUAAAACUCAAAGGAAUUGACGGGGACCCGCACAAGCGGUGGAUGAUGUGGAUUAAUUCGAUGCAACGCGAAAAACCUUACCUACCCUUGACAUGUCACUAACGAAGUAGAGAUACAUUAGGUGCUCGUAAGAGAAAGUGAACACAGGUGCUGCAUGGCUGUCGUCAGCUCGUGUCGUGAGAUGUUGGGUUAAGUCCCGCAACGAGCGCAACCCUUGUCUUUAGUUGCUACGCAAGAGCACUCUAAAGAGACUGCCGGUGACAAACCGGAGGAAGGUGGGGAUGACGUCAAGUCCUCAUGGCCCUUAUGGGUAGGGCUUCACACGUCAUACAAUGGUGCAUACAGAGGGUUGCCAACCCGCGAGGGGGAGCUAAUCUCAGAAAAUGCAUCGUAGUCCGGAUCGUAGUCUGCAACUCGACUACGUGAAGCUGGAAUCGCUAGUAAUCGCGGAUCAGAAUGUCGCGGUGAAUACGUUCCCGGGUCUUGUACACACCGCCCGUCAUACCAUGGGAGUGGGUUUUGCCAGAAGCCGUUAGCCUAACCGCAAGGAGGGCGACUGCCACGGCAGGGUUCAUGACUGGGGUAAAGUCGUAACAAGGUAGCCGUA